UCAUUUUUCAUUAUUCAUCUUCUAAAUAUUCAUCUUCUAAAAUUUGAGAGAGAGAGAGAGAAAAGAAGAAAACCAGAGUGAUGGAAAUCGGCCAUGGUAUCUUCUUCUUUUGCUAGACUGACGAUGGGAACCAAUAUUAGCGACAGCUACUGGAGUCGAUUUUGGCAAUGGCUUCCAUUUUUGGUUUCAACUCCGUGUAAAUGAAAGAAAGAUAUUUCUUCUGCAGUUGAAGAGAGGAAGUGAAUCUGGUGAAUACCAUGGGCGAGACUGCUAAAAAAAAUUGGUGUCUCUGGCCUCAUUUCGUAUUGUGAUGAUCUUGUUAGAGUUCUUCAGAACAAAAAGGACACUAAUAAUUUGAUGCCGUGUACUGACAAUGUCGAAUUGUUUCAAUCAUCAUGUGAUGGGGAUUUUUCCGAGGUUCAAACUUCUUUGGAAGAUUUGUUCAGUUUUCCUCUUAAAAUUUCUAUGCCUUUUUGCGAGUCUCUGUAAAAAGAUUUAUUCCUUGUGCUUUCGUUACGCAUCUCUUUAUAAGUAUAAUGUUCUUCAAGUAGUUCAACUAGAUAUAGUAUCUAAAACAUCUGAUGCAAAGAAAUCUCGUUUUAAUAUCUUUUCUUGUUCAUUGUGUCGAGUUUUGGAUUCUCUUCCAUUUUUCGUGAAUGGCCAUGAUAAUAGUCCAGUAAUCAAUCAUUGUUCCAAUAUUACUUCCAUCUGUUGUAGCCACUUGACAACCUCCUUUCCGACGCAUAUCAGAAGAAGAUAGAUGAAUGCCAGCGAAGGAUAAAUGGUGUGAAAAGUAAAGUUGUUAAUGAUGCUGAGUUAGAUUCUCUCCAAAAAGAAUAUGAGGAACUUAACAGAAAAAGUUGAGUGUUCUGUUGAUUUUUGAGGUGUCCCUGAUGACUUAUGGCAAGGAAACUAUAGUGGUUUUGGUUACUGAUAUUCUUUUGUUUUCAAUUCACACAAUUGUCAGUGACAAGAUCAACCAGCUGGAGCAACAGAGGGUUUCGCUCGAAGAACGAGAGCAGAACUUGAAGAAAGCUGAUAAGGAUGAAUUUAGAGAACAGAAGAAGCUGUCCAUGUAUGCAUCUGUGACUAAUAUCAUUCCAAAUAUGGAUAUUGGAACAAAAAUUUCUGGUCAUAUCGUGGAAAGGGAAAAAAGGACUGGAAACAUUUGAAUUUGAAGCAGCAAAUUCAUCGUCAUCAUCGAUAGAGAAUUAGAAAUAUGUAACAGCGUCUGGAAAACGAUCUCUUGAGAGCUUUACUAGAUAUGGUAAAUAUGUGUUAGAUAUGGUGGAUUUGUUACUAGGGCGCGUUGAAAGUUGUCACAGUCUGGUCCCUCUGCCUCUGCCACUCCGAAUCCUGACAAGCCUGAAGCUUAAAGUUGCUGACGAGCUCUUCCUUGUCGUCUCUGCACUGUUGUUGGUGUCUUUUUAUUUAUUUUUAUUUUUUUCAAAUGAACCCUUUUACGGUGUUUAUUGUGGGAUUUGGCUGAUUGUUAUAUUUUGUUGUAAGUUGUAACCUUGGCUCCCAAGCUUGGUAUUUUUGUUACUGUUUCUUCUCUU